GGUCCACCAGCACUCCCCUCGCUUACUCUUCUGGGUGGGAAGUGGGGAGGAGAAGAAAAGAAAAUUUAAGAUCCAGAACUAAGCGCACUGCACAAAUCAGGGACAAGGACUCUUGUAAGGGCCUGAUAACUUCCUGCUCUUUUAACUCUCACUGCACUCCAGAAUAAGAGAAAGUCUGAUAAUUAUGGAUUUCAGGGCAAAGAAUCCUGGACACGCAUGACCCACGGAAACAGCGCUUGGACAACUGCCGGGUGACAAAGCUAGAGCUUUCUGUG